GCGGGAGUAGCUCAGUUGGUAGAGCACUGCCUUGCCAAGGCAGUUGUCGCGGGUCCGAGUCCCGUUUCCCGCUCCA
rnacentral:tRNA from 1 species